CACCAGUCGCAAGACUGGGGAAGACCUAGUGGCGAACGGGUGAGUAACACGUGAGGAACGUGCCCCGGAGACCGGGAUAACAGCGGGAAACCGCUGCUAAUACCGGAUACCUUCCUUUGAUCGCAUGAUCAGUUGAAGAAAUGGAUUCCGCUCCGGGAGCGCCUCGCGGUCUAUCAGCUUGUUGGUGGGGUAACGGCCUACCAAGGCGACGACGGAUAGCUGGUCUGAGAGGACGAUCAGCCACACUGGGACUGAGACACGGCCCAGACUCCUACGGGAGGCAGCAGUGGGGAAUCUUGCCCAAUGGGCGAAAGCCUGAGGCAGCAACGCCGCGUGUGGGAUGAAGGCCCUUGGGUUGUAAACCACUUUCAGCAGGGACGAAAAUGACGGUACCUGCAGAAGAAGCCCCGGCCAACUACGUGCCAGCAGCCGCGGUAAGACGUAGGGGGCAAGCGUUGUCCGGAUUUAUUGGGCGUAAAGAGCUCGUAGGCGGCUCAGAAAGUCGGGUGUGAAACCUCCAGGCUCAACCUGGAGACGCCACCUGAUACUGCUGUGGCUAGAGUCCGGUAGGGGAACACGGAAUUCCCGGUGUAGCGGUGAAAUGCUUAGAUAUCGGGAGGAACACCAG
rnacentral:rRNA from 1 species